GUCGAGCGGUAACAGGUGUAGCAAUACAUGCUGACGAGCGGCGAACGGGUGAGUAAUGCUUCGGAAUCUGCCCAAUGGUGGGGAAUAACCAGCCGAAAGGUUGGCUAAUACCGCAUAAGUCCUACGGGGGAAAGCAGGGGAUCGCAAGACCUUGCGCCGAUGGAUGAGCCGAAGUCGGAUUAGCUAGUUGGUAGGGUAACGGCCUACCAAGGCGACGAUCCGUAGCUGGUCUGAGAGGACGACCAGCCACACUGGGACUGAGACACGGCCCAGACUCCUACGGGAGGCAGCAGUGGGGAAUAUUGGACAAUGGGGGAAACCCUGAUCCAGCGACGCCGCGUGUGUGAAGAAGGCCUGCGGGUUGUAAAGCACUUUUAGUGGGGAUGAAAAGCUCAGGGCUAACACCUCUGGGUCUUGACCUAACCCACAGAAAAAGCACCGGCUAACUCUGUGCCAGCAGCCGCGGUAAUACAGAGGGUGCGAGCGUUAAUCGGAAUUACUGGGCGUAAAGCGUGCGUAGACGGUUAUGUAAGUCGGGUGUGAAAGCCCCGGGCUCAACCUGGGAAUGCCAUUCGAGACUGCAUAGCUAGGGUGCGGAAGAGGGAAGCGGAAUUUCCGGUGUAGCGGUGAAAUGCGUAGAUAUCGGAAGGAACACCAGUGGCGAAAGCGGCUUCCUGGUCCAGCACCGACGUUCAGGCACGAAAGCGUG
rnacentral:rRNA from 1 species